CUAAAAAGCCAGACAUAUAAUCCCAACACUGAAAAAGCUGAGAAAGACAGAUCCCAGGAGCUCACAUGAUCCCCCAUCCCACUGGAGCCCAAAGAAUGAGUGUCCACUUCAGUGAGAAAGCCUGUCUCAAUAGAAUAAGUAGUCACAAGAUGGUACCUGACAUCCUGCUCUGACUCCUGUGCUCAUUUGGCUGCAUGUACCUGUACACUCAAUGUGCCCCUAGACACACAAAUGCAUCUGUGUACUCACAUGUGCCCCUAGACACACAAAUGCACCUGUGCACUCACAUGUGCCCCUAGACACACAAAUGCACCUGUGCACUCACAUGUGCCCUUACACACACACACACACACACACACACACAUGUGCACCUGUACACUCACAUGUGCCCCCACAAAUGAACCUGUGCACUCACAUGUGCCCCUACACACACAAAUGCACCUGUACACUCACAUGUGCCACUACACACACAUGCACCUGUGCACUCAAAUGUGCCCCCCCACAAAUGCACCUGUGCACUCACAUGUGCCCCUACACACAUAUGCACCUGUGCACUCACAUGUGCCCCCCCACAAAUGCACCUGUGCACUCACAUGUGCCCCUACACACACACACAUGCACCUGUGCACUCACAUGUGCUACCCCACAAAUGCACCUGUGCACUCACAUGUGCCCCUACACACACACAAAUGCACCUAUACACUCACAUGUGCCCCUACACACAUACACACAUGCACCUGUGCACUCACAUGUGUCCCCCCACAAAUGCACCUGUGCACUCACAUGUGCCCCUACAUACACACAAAUGCACCUGUACACUCACACGUGCCCCCACACACAAAUGCACCUGUACACUCACAUGUGCCCCUACAUACAAAUGCACUUGUGCACUCACAUGUGCCCCUCCACAGACACAAAUGCACCUGUGCACUCACAUCUGUCCCUACACACACACAAAUGCAUCUGUACACUCACAUGUGCCCUCCUCCACACUCAAAUUUUUAAAAUAAUUUCUCACUACUCUUCUUUGUUAGCCUCAUUUAAAAUGAAGUAUGGAUAGAGGAGAGCUACUUGUUCAUAGUCUGG
rnacentral:lncRNA from 1 species